rnacentral:rRNA from 1 species
AGGACGAACGCUGGCGGCGUGCUUAACACAUGCAAGUCACGGGGGCCCGCAAGGGUAACCGGCGAACGGGUGCGUAACACGUAAGCGACCUGCCGAUCUGCGGGGGAUAGCCGGCCCAACGGCCGGGUAAUACCGCAUACGCUCUUUGGGCUUCAUGGCCUGGGGAGGAAACCUCCGGGGCGGAUCGAGGGGCUUGCGGCCUAUCAGCUAGUUGGUGAGGUAACGGCUCACCAAGGCGGUGACGGGUAGCU